GAAAUUUGUAUGGGUUUGGCUAGAGACCUUUAUGAAACCACUUAAUAACUUCCAUUCAUCAUAGAAGUUAUGAAAGAUAUUAAACUCACCAUUUUAUUUUCUUCAUCUUUGGAAUUGAAUAUGUGACCAUAAAGGGUUACAUACCUUGUAUUUACUCUGAUAGUUUACUUUCUAUAAAACAAGAUUACGGAAUUUUGAAAUCAGGUUGGUUAAAAAUUCAAAUAUUAAACUCUGCAGUAUGUAUAUAACAUAACAAUCAAUUGCAGGCAGGCAAUGGAGCUCCACAGAGGCAUUUGUUGUGGAAAUAAGAACUAACGUCAAAGAUCCGCAAUUUUCUACCCAUUAGAAUCUGACCACAUAAUCUGUUAUAACUCACAUUCAAAUACAGCAAAUUCGAAUUUGUCAAAUCCUGCUGCAGACUCCUACUAAUCCUAUUAUGAUUCAAAUCCAAGGAUUGUAAGCUGUCAGGAAACUGCACCUUUGACAGAUCAAACUCAAACAUUUUCCUCGAAAAAUCGACCAUUUGGAGUCUUGUUUCUGCCAAACAAGAAUGAGAUGUCACCUACAAGGUUAUUGCGCGAAAAGUCGAGGUCAGUAAAAUUCAAGUCUCCUAAUGAUCUUGGAACCGAACCUGUGAGGUUGUUGGGGAGAGAUAAAGAUCAGGUACUUUUCCAAUGAAUUUUCCAAAGGAUUCUGGGAUGUUACCAGUGAGUUGUUCCAGUCUAAGUGAAGGGCUUCGAGGUUUUGGAGUAGUGAAAUUUCAGGCGGGAUUGAACCGGUUAGGUCAUUGAAGGAUAAGUCAAGAAAAUAUAAGUUCUUGAGUUGACUAAGGAAUGUAGGCACCGGUCCAGAUAAGUUGGCAUAACUAAGUCUAAGCAAUCUGAGAUUGGUUAAUUUUGCAAUGGCAGGUUGGAUUUGGCCGGUAAGGUUGGUAAGUUUCCUGAAUACUAAGUUUUCGAGGAACGGAAGGUCUCCUAUGGCUGCUGGAAUUUGGUUGGAAAGGUUCGCGUGGAAAAGAUCGAAUGUAACAAUCCGAUUUGUAUUCGGGUCGCAUCCCACACCAUACCAAUCUUCACAACAAUCUGUCUUGGGAUCCCAUGAGUUGAAUCGAGCAGGGUUUAGGACUUGUUUGAUCUGUAAGAGGAUUUUUUUCUCAUUUGGAUUGCACUUUUUGGAGAGACAAAAAAUUGGUAGAGACAAGAAAAUUAAGAGAAUACAAAGGAUGUGGAAAUUCAUGCUGUUUUUGUAUACUGGCAUGUUUGAGCCAUAUGGGAGUUUAUGUAGAGGAGGAAAUUUUGACUUUUAAGUCAAAUAAUUGCUUCUUUAAAUCUGAUGGCUGAAAUAGAUAAUGAGGGUGACAACUGACAACUGGUACCCAAUGAAAAUGGGGUUUUCAUACUGUGUGUUCUAUUGAAUAAAAAUGAAACAAUUGUUUUAUUAUUCUCUCCAAAACUUGUGUCUUUCCCACCCUCCAGAAAAGAAUGGAUUGGUGGGCUAUUAUUUGUUUUGUGCAGUAAUGAACUAUGAAC
rnacentral:lncRNA from 1 species